rnacentral:rRNA from 1 species
UACAGAGGUCUCGAGCGUUAGGCGGAAUCACUGGUCUUAAAGCGUGUGUAGGUGGAUGCCUAAGUACCUUGUGAAAUCCCACAGCUUAACUGUGGAACUGCUUGGUAUACUGGGUGUCUUGAGUCACUCAGGGGCGAGCGGAACAAAUGGUGGAGCGGUGAAAUGCGUAGAUAUCAUUUGGAACGCCAAUGGUGAAAACAGCUCGCUGGGGGUGCACUGACACUGAGACACGAAAGCCAGGGGAGCGAACGGG